GUCCUUUUCAUAGCUCCAGAGGAUUUUUAGGAGCAUAGGGAGCAUGGGAUGCAUGGACCUGAGGACCCACAAAACCUUCUGGAGAAUGUUCGCUGUGGAUAAAAGCAUCUGGAAGUUUCUACCAUCUUUUUACCCUGAUUUUUCCUGGGUCACCCUGUGUCAUUUGUGGCCCUGAGGAUUAUAGCACACAGUCACUUACUGGAAUACCUCCCCAUGCAUCUUCUUGAAAUGGAGCCACUGCUUUACCCAGCUGGCAGAUAUUUUCUCCUCUCCCAGAGCUUUUCCAGUGCAGCAGCAGCACUCCUGUCCAGCAGGUCUCGAUUGACUGCAGAAAGGAGAAGGGAGGAGCAUGUCGAAGGGAGGUCAGAUCCUGCCAGGGUUUCCUGGCAAAUGAGGUCUAUCCACUGUUUGGAAGAUGAAACCUGAUGAGCUGCAAUUUGGGUUGGAUUACAGUAUUUCAGAAGACUUUCUGAACUUGCCAGGCAACCCUUCCCCUAGACUUUGGGGACAGAGGAAAUUAAAUUUAUAUUUCCAGUGUCACACAAGGAGAUGGAAUGGAGUUGGCUGCUUUACACAAGUAAUGAAAACCAAUGCUUUGCUGCUCUUGGAAGGAGUGCUCAAAAGGAGAAAAGUGUGGCAUACACAUCUUGGUUUAGAGACAGAUUUUAUCUGGGAAGAGUGUGCCCAGGGGAAGAUACAAGAGGAAGGAGAAGAGGUGAUGCUACAAGCCAGCUUCCUGACCUCCAGAGUGGGACUGAAGCUUUUUAACAAGAUUUUCUAAGUAUGGAAGCUCUCCUGAGGAGCUGCAUUAUGUGCUGCAGCCCCUGGGAUGGGAUGCAAUGCAAGGAGUGAAGAAGAGCUGCAAUGUACCACUGUUUUUGUGAGGAGAGGGGCUUUCUGGCAUGUCAUAUGGUGCCAAAAGACAUUUUACUCUUGGCAGCAAAAAUCCUUAUCCUUCUUGGUUUUUUUUUUUUUCCGGGACAGAUGCUAUUUCCUGUUAGAGAUGCUUUGUAUGCAAAUCAAGGUGGUACAACAAGAAAAAAGUCCUGAAAGCAAUCACACCGAUAAACUCAGCCCACUGGGGAAUUCCUGCUUAUCAUUUAUCUUUUGUUUUUUCAGUUCUGUACAAGAUACUUCUUUGCCUGUGCUUUCUUACAGUCUUUAAUGUUUGUCCUGCCAGACCUCUUGCUUGUGAGCUACAGUGCUUGCAUUUUGCAAGGCUCCAUGUCAGUCUGCACAAACAAAAGGCAGUAAGUGCUGGAAAUUGGGGUUAACAGUCCCUGUGUUUCAGCUUGAUCUUGCAUUGAUCUGGUGCUUUCUUAAGUUCAAACCAGAUGUGAGCCUCACACUACAGAUUGCCACAUGGCUAUAGUGAUGAUCUACUGGAAAGGUGAUCCCAGAAACCUCAGGAAUGAAAAAAAAAAAGAGAUAAAAAGCAAAAAGAAGCCAGCAAAAAGUUUACCUAGUAACUUAAACAGGAGUAGGAUUUGACUUGAGGCACCUCAAGAGAUGGUGUGGGCAGCACUGCACUAAUGCAGUAACAUGAGUAUGCAGUAACAUGAGUUGAUCACCUCAGUGCUCCAGCA